rnacentral:rRNA from 1 species
AUUGAACGCUAGCGGGAUGCUUUACACAUGCAAGUCGAACGGCAGCGCGGACUUCGGUCUGGCGGCGCGUGGCGAACGGGUGAGUAAUGUAUCGGAACGUGCCCAGUAGCGGGGGAUAACUACGCGAAAGCGUAGCUAAUACCGCAUACGCCCUACGGGGGCAAGCAGGGGAUCGUAAGACCUUGCACUAUUGGAGCGGCCGAUAUCGGAUUAGUUAGUUGGUGAGGUAACGGCUCACCAAGGCGACGAUCCGUAGCUGGUGUGAGAGGACGACCAGCCGCACUGGGACUGAGACACGGCCCAGAGUCCUACGGGAGGCAGCAGUGGGGAAUUGUGGACAAUGGGGGCAACCCUGAUCCAGCCAGCCCGCGUGUGCGAUGAAGGCCUUCGGGUUGUAAAGCACGUUUGGCAGGAAAGAAACGUCGCGGGCUAAUACCCCGUGGAACUGACGGUACCUGCAGAAUAAGCACCGGCUAACUACGUG